rnacentral:rRNA from 1 species
UGGCGGCAGGCUUAACACAUGCAAGUCGAACGAUGACUCUCUAGCUUGCUAGAGAAGAUUAGUGGCGGACGGGUGAGUAACAUUUAGGAAUCUGCCUAGUAGUGGGGGAUAGCUCGGGGAAACUCGAAUUAAUACCGCAUACGACCUACGGGUGAAAGGGGGCGCAAGCUCUUGCUAUUAGAUGAGCCUAAAUCAGAUUAGCUAGUUGGUGGGGUAAAGGCCCACCAAGGCGACGAUCUGUAACUGGUCUGAGAGGAUGAUCAGUCACACCGGAACUGAGACACGGUCCGGACUCCUACGGGAGGCAGCAGUGGGGAAUAUUGGACAAUGGGGGCAACCCUGAUCCAGCCAUGCCGCGUGUGUGAAGAAGGCCUUUUGGUUGUAAAGCACUUUAAGCAGGGAGGAGAGGCUAAUGGUUAAUACCCAUUAGAUUAGACGUUACCUGCAGAAUAAGCACCGGCUAACUCUGUGCCAGCAGCCGCGGUAAUACAGAGGGUGCGAGCGUUAAUCGGAAUUACUGGGCGUAAAGCGAGUGUAGGUGGCUCAUUAAGUCACAUGUGAAAUCCCCGGGCUUAACCUGGGAACUGCAUGUGAUACUGGUGGUGCUAGAAUAUGUGAGAGGGAAGUAGAAUUCCAGGUGUAGCGGUGAAAUGCGUAGAGAUCUGGAGGAAUACCGAUGGCGAAGGCAGCUUCCUGGCAUAAUAUUGACACUGAGAUUCGAAAGCGUGGGUAGCAAACAGGAUUAGAUACCCUGGUAGUCCACGCCGUAAACGAUGUCUACUAGCCGUUGGGGUCCUUGAGACUUUAGUGGCGCAGUUAACGCGAUAAGUAGACCGCCUGGGGAGUACGGCCGCAAGGUUAAAACUCAAAUGAAUUGACGGGGGCCCGCACAAGCGGUGGAGCAUGUGGUUUAAUUCGAUGCAACGCGAAGAACCUUACCUGGUCUUGACAUAGUGAGAAUCUUUCAGAGAUGAGAGAGUGCCUUCGGGAAUUCACAUACAGGUGCUGCAUGGCUGUCGUCAGCUCGUGUCGUGAGAUGUUGGGUUAAGUCCCGCAACGAGCGCAACCCUUUUCCUUAUUUGCCAGCGGGUUAAGCCGGGAACUUUAAGGAUACUGCCAGUGACAAACUGGAGGAAGGCGGGGACGACGUCAAGUCAUCAUGGCCCUUACGACCAGGGCUACACACGUGCUACAAUGGUAGGUACAGAGGGUUGCUACACAGCGAUGUGAUGCUAAUCUCAAAAAGCCUAUCGUAGUCCGGAUUGGAGUCUGCAACUCGACUCCAUGAAGUCGGAAUCGCUAGUAAUCGCAGAUCAGAAUGCUGCGGUGAAUACGUUCCCGGGCCUUGUACACACCGCCCGUCACACCAUGGGAGUCUAUUGCACCAGAAGUAGGUAGCCUAACGAAAGAGGGCGCUUACCACGGUGUGGUCGA